rnacentral:rRNA from 1 species
AACGAACGCUGGCGGCAUGCCUAACACAUGCAAGUCGAACGGAAACUUCUGGUCUAGUUGCGGAAGUGGGCGUGACACGGGGGGACCUGCCCUUAGGUUCGCAAUCACUCCCCGAAAGAGGUGCUAAUACCGGUGAAUGUAUUCGGGCCAAAGAUUUAUCGCCUUUGGGUGGGCCCGAGUUGGAUUACGUAGUUGGUAGGGUAAAAGCCUACCAAGGCGACGAUCCAGAGCUUGUCGGAGAGGAUGGUCAGCCACACUGGGACUGGGACACGGCCCAGACUCCUACGGGAGGCAGCAGUGGGGAAUAUAGGACAAUGGGCGAAAGCCUGAUACAGCAAUGCCGCGUGAGUGAUGAAGGCCUUAGGGUUGUAAAGCUCUUUUACCCGGGAUGAUAAUGACAGUACCGGGAGAAUAAGCACCGGCUAACUCCGUG